AUACGGAGGGUGCAAGCGUUAAUCGGAAUUACUGGGCGUAAAGCGUGCGUAGGUGGUUUGUUAAGUCAGAUGUGAAAGCCCCGGGCUCAACCUGGGAACUGCAUUUGAAACUGGCAUACUAGAGUAUAGGAGAGGAAAGUGGAAUUUCAGGUGUAGCGGUGAAAUGCGUAGAUAUCUGAAGGAACAUCAAUGGCGAAGGCGGCUUUCUGGACUAAUACUGACACUGAGGUACGAAAGCGUGGGUAGCAAACAGGAUUAGAUACCCGAGUAGUCC
rnacentral:rRNA from 1 species